CUACGGGGGGCUCCAGUGGGGAAUAUUGGACAAUGGGUGAAAGCCUGAUCCAGCAAUACCGCGUGUGUGAAGAAGGCCUGAGGGUUGUAAAGCACUUUCAAUAGGAAGGAAUACCUAUCGGUUAAUACCCGGUAGACUGACAUUACCUAUACAAGAAGCACCGGCUAACUCCGUGCCAGCAGCCGUGGUAAUACGGAGGGUGCAAGCGUUAAUCGGAGUUACUGGGCGUAAAGCGUGCGUAGGCGGUUAUUUAAGUCAGAUGUGAAAGCCCUGGGCUUAACCUGGGAACUGCAUUUGAUACUGGAUGACUAGAGUGGAGUAGAGGAGAGUGGAAUUUCAAGUGUAGCGGUGAAAUGCGUAGAGAUCUGAAGGAACACCAGUGGCGAAGGUGGCUCUCUGGACUCAAACUGACGCUGAGGUACGAAAGCGUGGGUAGCAAACAGGAUUAGAUACCCUAGUAGUC
rnacentral:rRNA from 1 species